rnacentral:lncRNA from 10 species
CUGGGAGUGGUGAGCUUCCCCCUUGGGCUCCUCACAUUCAGAAUGUGGGUGCUGGGGUUGAGUAUGGGUAGAAAUUCUCCCCUAUAUUUACAGCCAUCAUUUAUACAGACAGUGGUAUCAUUUGGGGCUAUACUGCCCAUAUAAAUAGCUAUUGAAAUUUAAGUUCUGCCUCGGCCUCCCAAAGUGCCGGGAUUACAGACUUGAGCCACUGUGCUCAGCUGUUUUUUGUAUUUUCAGUAGAGACGGUUUUUCUACAUGUUGGCCAGUGUGGUCUUGAACUCCUGACCUCAAGCGAUCUGCCCACCCCCUUGGCUUCUCAAAGUGCUGGGAUUACAGGCGUGAGCCACCACAUCCAGCUCAAUUAUCUUCUUUCUAUGCCCUCAUUAGACCCCAAUAAGACACAGUGCUGACUCAUACAAAAAUAUAACAUUUAUACUUUCUUUAAAUGAUAUUCAGAACAGCACAUACAUUUAUUAUAUAUGAA